CACAAAGUUUUAUUUUGAUAACUUGUAAAGUAACGUGAACUGAAAUUAGCAGACAGAUCAGGUCUUUGUGUCCUGGAGGGUUCAGGUCAUUAUUCAGUUCUACGUGGGUCUGAGUCGAGCUUCAGAGUAAUACACGAGUCCGGUUUGGGUCCGACUUCACUCGGUUCUGUUUUAUUCUGGGUCAGGAGUAAAAGUUAAAGACGUGUCCGGCUCAGUUUGGCGGUGUGUUAACCUCGUAUAUAAUCAGUGUAUGUGCUCACUGGUCUCUGUGCUGUAGUCUGAUGGUGUUGGUCUUACGUUGGUGUAUAUUGGCUUUGAACAGGACGUUUUAUAAAUGUGGUGCUGAGGCCUGUUUGUGUGUUUUUCUAGUUUUAUGAGAAAGAUGGAACUUCUACACCUCUGAGGAUGAACAGGACCUCCACCUCCACCCUGCUGUCUCUCUCUGACCGGUGAGUGUAGCUUGAUUCAGAGAGGAACGAGGCUUAGACCUCUGUUAUCUGACACAAACAUAUUUACAUACAUCAACUGUCCUGUGUUUUUGAGAGACUGAAGAACAGUUUAAUGUCCUGGGAACAGAUCCGCAUGUUAUUCUGUGAUUACUGGCAGAGGAGUUGGAUGACAGCAGCGCUCAGGAGACGGCCGUUCUCUCUGUGGAUGUGAGGCAUGGUCCCGGCAUGAAGAGAUUCUAUAGAAGCAGGAGGACACAGUGAGAAGAACUCUUCUGGAGGAAAUAUUCAGAACCUCUGAGGAAGCGCCCUUUUGUGCAGCUGCGAUUCUGUUGGACCCAUGUUUCAUAGACAGGGACAAGAGGCCAGUGAAACAUAGGCAGAACAGGUGUGGAUAGACAUCAGGUCCAUUCAAAGUCCAGAAUGAAUCUGAUUCCAGUUCAGUCAGAGUGAGUAAAGAUGUCUGUCCUCAGUGUUUAUGUGAUUGACAGUGGCAAAGGAAAUAACAGAGUAAAACUGAGAUAUUUAGACUAAACACAAACCCAUAUCUCUGUUCAAACUAUGUCUCCUGUUCACUGAUACAAAGUGAGACUUUACAGAGUAACAAAGCUUAACAGUAACAAUCAG